CAGGGCAAACACACGGCCCAGCCGGCACGUCACGGCAGCUAUUAAAGCAGACGGCACAUGCUAGGCCUCACUCGUUCUCGCAGCAUUUCAUUAGCUCGACCGGACACAGCGUGGUUAAGCGCUAGCAAUAAGAUGACCAAGUUUCUACCUGUUUUGUUAUACCUAUCAGUCGUGAGUUACGUGACGUCAAAGCCCACCCUCUUUGUGAAGGAUGUCGGCUGCAACGACCGCGACACCGACACCAAAUGCUACUACUGCAGCUCCCACUACGACAGACCGGAGCUUUACGAAAAAUGUUGUAACGACGUUGCGUUCCAGGAUCACUGUAAAACAGAAAUAUGGGUGGAGCUUAAACGAGAGAGUAUGUGGUGAUCCCAAUUCAGGAUUGUAGUCCCCUUUGGAAGUGUCGGCCAAGACGGAAGUCAGUGGAAGGAACGAUAACUCUUACCGGAUCUGAACCAGCUUUUAAUGCCCCGGAUGUAAAUGGGGGAACCAAAUGGCUUGUGUGCGUUGUGAUAUAGUGUUUGGCUUUGAAAUUCCCCCAAAGUCAUUAAGAUACAAUUAUUACGGACAAACGACAGUGAACCGCAAAAAAAUUAAACAUGAAAUUAUAUUUUGAAAGUAGUUCAGUUAAAGUUAAACGACUUUGAUGUGAUAUUGUGAACACUCAUUUCUUGGUUUAUUUUGUCAUUGUUUAUUCGAACAAGAGGGACUCAUAAUUAUGUCACGGUUGUGAAGUGAUGGCAAGUGUUUCUCGAGUGAUAUACAGAGAGGAGUUACAGAUGGAAUGGCAGUUGUGGCUGCAAGGUUAACACACAACCUCGAAUGAAUGAGGUGAGGACAAUUGUGCAUGUGAUACGUCAUGUGCAGUUACUCGAGAUGAAGUUGAUGAGACAGGUGCCCGUGAUGAGCAGGUAGAAUCCCAGGCAGGGAUGUUGAUCCUGGAGAUGGACCAGCCUGGAGAUGGAGGCAGCAAGAAGAGUUAUUGACGUUAUAUUCUCUAUAAUUUUAUUUUGGCCCUGGAUUCGGCCGUCUUGGUUAAAGUAUCGUUUGUUUAUAUUUGCUUGUUUAUUUAUUACUCUAAAUGUUAUUUAUUUAUUGAGAGUUUAUUUAUUAUAAAAUAUGUGAAAUAAAUUUUAUACAUUGUA